AAGGCUCUACUGAGCCUACAACCUGGCUCGC
rnacentral:sRNA from 1 species